rnacentral:lncRNA from 1 species
ACAGAAGACGAAGAGCUGGAAUAGAGCUCGCCUCGGCUCUGCUGGCCUUGGCUGCAGCUCUUCCAGAAACCCGGGGCGCCCACAGAAGAAUCUCUUACCUGGCUCUCUCUUCAGGGAUGACAUCAUCGGCUCACACCAGUCUUCCAGGACCACCUUCUGGAUGCCAAGGCUGCUGCUCGAGUACCUGCUGUGCACCUCUACCUCCUGAGCCAAGGAGCACGGAUUCCAGGAACCCACUACCAUACAGAGCAACUCCUUGUGGACCCCCCUGGGAUCAGGACAGCGAGGGACAAGCGACAAAGAGGAUCAUCAGUGGCCAGCUAGUUUCUCUGGGGUUCAAACCUUGAACCAGUGCCCUAGUGAGGGGGCACUGGCCAUGGCCCUUGACCUUUGCUCUGCUUGUGUCUUGAGUCUGAGCCCUUUCCUGUACAUCUGUGCUCGUGUUCAUCUGCUAGUGAACUGGAGUGCUGCCCUCCCCGAGGAGGGUCGUCCCUUGUGACUGAUCAUGCUGUCCUAACAAUGUCCUGAGCAAAAGGGUCCCUUUGGGAACCUCUCAGGAGGGGGACCCGGGUCAGGGGCGACCAGCAUCUUGCUGGCAACUCCGUGGGUGGGGUGGGGUGGGGUGCUUCCUUCUGGAAUGAGCACGUGGCUGACCCCCCAAGGCAUGUCCCCUCCCCCUCCUCCACCCACCUUCUCGGAGAUGUCCCUUUUGGGGUAGUGGGGACAUUAGGAGCAACCUCCUAGGGUUGUUGUGAGAAUUAAAUGAACUGCAGCAGCCUGAGGCAGGGCUGGGCAGAGACCUCAGCACAUGUUUGUUGAAAGGUUUGCAGGUGGAUCUAGUCCUCCCGUUCAUGGCUCAUGUGUCUCAACCAUUCUCUCGCAGACUCCUGCAGCCCCUAUGCCCAGGGCUCUCCUUGCGCCAGCCCCGGCUUCUCGAGGCCUGUCUACACUCGCUGCUUUCCUUCCUCACCUCCAAUUUCCCCUCCAACCCACUGCUUCCUGACUCGCUCUUCUCCAUCGAACGGCUCUCGCUCAGGUUCCACGAGCUGCCCAUCUCCACAGAAGAGCAGCUGGCAUUGCCCACCGGCCAUGCCGGCUGAAGAAAAGAAGACUGAGGACCCCAGGAUGCCCAGCGCGAGGACCCCAGGAAGCCCAGCGCGAGGACUCCACCCACGACGCCCAGCGCGAGGACUUCACGCACAACACGUUGCAACCCUCCUGGAUUAGGCCUCUACAGCCACGGGGACGCCUUGCACAUUUCCUGUGGGACAUGCUGGACCCAAGACUCUGGACCCUGGCCUCCCCUUGAGUAGAGAGACCCACCUACUGACUGAUGAACUGCGCUGACCCUGGGGUCAGGCAUGUGGCCUUGAUCCCUACCCAUGGACCCUGAGACUUGGGGGGGUGGGAGAAAGGCUGUUGUGUCUUCACUGUUGAGUCUACAUCUGUGAAAUGGGCUCAGGUUCCUACCUCACAGGGCUGUUGUGAGGCAGCCGCAAUGUGCUUAGAAGCAUGGGGCCUAGUGGCUCAUGGUGCUUUCAAUAAAUUUCUUGUUUUAACUAAA